rnacentral:rRNA from 1 species
CAGGUCGAGGGACGAAAGUCGGGACUAGUGAUCCGGCAGUGGCUUGUGGAAGCGCUGUCGCUCAACGGAUAAAAGGUACCUCGGGGAUAACAGGCUGAUCUUGCCCAAGAGUCCAUAUCGACGGCAUGGUUUGGCACCUCGAUGUCGGCUCGUCGCAUCCUGGGGCUGGAGUAGGUCCCAAGGGUUGGGCUGUUCGCCCAUUAAAGCGGUACGCGAGCUGGGUUUAGACGUCGUGAGACAGUUCGGUCCCUAUCCGCUGCGCGCGUAGGAAGUUUGAGAGGAUCUGACCCUAGUACGAGAGGACCGGGUUGGACGAACCUCUGGUGUGUCAGUUGUUCCGCCAGGAGCACCGCUGAUUAGCUACGUUCGGGAUGGAUAACCGCUGAAAGCAUCUAAGCGGGAAGCCGGCCUCAAGAUGAGACUUCCAUACCCUUCGGGGUGAGAGGCUCCCAGCCAGACUACUGGGUUGAUAGGCCGGAUGUGGAAGCGUAGUAAUACGUGAAGCUGACCGGUACUAAUAAGCCGAUGACUUGAUAACACACC